rnacentral:rRNA from 1 species
AUUGAACGCUGGCGGCAGGCCUAACACAUGCAAGUCGAACGGUAACAGGAAACAGCUUGCUGUUUCGCUGACGAGUGGCGGACGGGUGAGUAAUGUCUGGGAAACUGCCUGAUGGAGGGGGAUAGCUACUGGAAACGGUAGCUAAUACCGCAUAACGUCGCAAGACCAAAGAGGGGGACCUUCGGGCCUCUUGCCAUCGGAUGUGCCCAGAUGGGAUUAGCUUGUUGGUGGGGUAACGGCUCACCAAGGCGACGAUCCCUAGCUGGUCUGAGGGGAUGACCAGCCACACUGGAACUGAGACACGGUCCAGACUCCUACGGGAGGCAGCAGUGGGGAAUAUUGCACAAUGGGCGCAAGCCUGGUGCAGCCAUGCCGCGUGUAUGAAGAAGGCCUUCGGGUUGUAAAGUACUUUCAGCGGGGAGGAAGGGAGUAGAGUUAAUACCUUUACUCAUUGACGUUACCCGCAGAAGAAGCACCGGCUAACUCCGUGCCAGCCGCCGCCGUAA